rnacentral:rRNA from 1 species
GAUGAACGCUAGCGGCAGGCCUAACACAUGCAAGUCGAGGGAGAAGCCCUUUCGGGGGCAGAAACCGGCGCACGGGUGCGUAACGCGUAUGCAACCUACCUUUCACAGGGGGAUAGCCCGAAGAAAUUUGGAUUAAUACCCCAUAAUAUUGUUGGAUGGCAUCAUUUGGCAAUUAAAACUGCGGUGGUGAAAGAUGGGCAUGCGUCCUAUUAGCUAGUUGGAGUGGUAACGGCACCCCAAGGCUACGAUAGGUAGGGGUCCUGAGAGGGAGAUCCCCCACACUGGUACUGAGACAGGGACCAGACUCCUACGGGAGGCAGCAGUGAGGAAUAUGGGUCAAUGGUCGGAAGACUGAACCAGCCAUGCCGCGUGCAGGAAGAAUGCCUUAUGGGUUGUAAACUGCUUUUAUAUGGGAAGAAUAAGGCGUACGUGUACGUUGAUGACGGUACCAUAUGAAUAAGCAUCGGCUAACUCCGU